GGUUAUCCCUUCUCCAGUCGUCGAGCACUCCUCGGGGGUCCUCCGUGAAAGAUUUCCUCACCUCAAAAAGAACUUCCAUGUACACCGAGUCCAAGUAGCGACAGAGAGCCGAAGGAGGCAGGAAAGAGAUCACCACCAGUAGAACAACCAGCGUGAUCCUCCGGUUGCAUUCACAACCCCCCUUCCUUGCGCCACCUGCUUUUCUGGAAAAGAAGAGAAAAUUGGAGGAUGAGAGGGAGAAAGAAAGGGGUGAAAACACCUGCAUGUUGACGACAUAUUUGAGCUUCUAUUCUGCAUCAAAAGUUUUAUCUGACAUCUUCUGUGGAAGUAAAUCUAUAUGGUAGGAAUCCUUCCAAUGAGAUUACUUGCUCGACGAUGGUCAAAGCAUGGUCCUACAGAAUAUGGGCAGCAUAUCAGAACUGUCUCCAUUACUUAAUAGCAGCUGUUUCUUCAAUUCAACAUAAAGGAAUUUAGAGUCACGGGUGGAGUCACCGAACCCAGCUGUCUUCAAGUGCUAUUUCUUUUUGGCAGUGGGGAAGGAGAAGACUGCAGCGAGCGAGACUCGAUUGGUGAUUUCUGCACAUAAUAUGGAGAUGGUUUGUUCUUGAUUGCAAUAGGAUACCCCUCCUCACCAUUCUUCAGAUGAAAUGGAGGUGGCCUCCCAUCGGCAGAUUUAGGCUAGCAAAGGACAUCAAGAAGAGAUUUGGUUCUUCCCAGCGCACAAAGAUGAAAGAUUGAUGUGGUCAAUGAGAAUGCAAGUGUUGGGAUACAAUCUGAUGAGUGCUAAUCUAUGAUGUGUUGGGCAAAAAAGACAAAACGGCUAAGAAGAAGCAUAACCCAGCAGCAUUUUGGCCUUACAAGUACUUGAAUUGAAGAUGACAAGUGGAGACCAAACUUUUAGAUUAAAUGAUGGCGUGAAUAUGAGAAGUUGAGCUGUGUGUA